GCAACGAACCAAAGGAGGAGAAGGAAGGGAGGAAGAAGAAGGAGAAAGAAAGAAAAAAAAAAAAAAAAAGAAAGAAAAAGAUUUAGCCGUCCGAUUCCAAUUCCGACUUGGGUGUACGUUGGAGGAGAUUUGGGUGAAGUUAUAAAAUCCAGAAAGUAUCGGUAGGAGGUAAGCAGUAGGGAAUUAAAUCUAAUUUUAAGAAAUUAGGUAUUUAUGUUGCAUGUGAUUCUGAUUCUGAUAUUGAUAUGAUAUUAUGUGGAAUCAUUUGGUCAGUGCAUCUAUAUAUGUAUAUAUGUGUGUGUAUAUGCAUGUGUGAAACUUCGUUUUACGAUAUUUGAUAUACGUAUUUGAUCGUGUUGGUGAAUUUAUAAAAAGGAGGAUAGGUGGGCCGUCUCACCAGCCCUUUUCAUUAAAUUCACUUAUUGACAUGCUGCACACAUUGCACGAUUUAUCGGAUAUGUUUUAUGGAUCUAUCGUUUAGUCGCCGUGUGCGGUAGUGCUAGGCGAGGGCAUCAUCUGGGGUUAGGAUAUUCGACCCCGAUGUACCGUAACACUUUGGCGAUAGUGGACGAUAGUAGUCGGGCAACUGGGUGACUUAGUCGCACGGUCAUUCAGGGAUUAGACCCAUUGCAGUUGAGACGUAUUUGGUCUAAUCAUUCGGGUUCGGUGUUGUUCCACUCAUUGGAGUAGCUACUAGUGAGGUCUACCGGUAGUUUAGGAUCAGAUGCCAAACUCCAAACGCGAUCCCGUUAGGGCGUGCGAGGAGGAGUAGAGUUUCCGGGUUUCCUUCGGGUGAUUCCAGGUUGCACGGAUUCUACUACGUUACACGGGGUAGGGCUAGACAGGAGGGUCCUAUCUUCGCUAUCACAGACUAUGGGG